rnacentral:rRNA from 1 species
AUUGAACGCUGGCGGCAGGCUUAACACAUGCAAGUCGAGCGGGGUGAUGGUGCUUGCACUAUCACUUAGCGGCGGACGGGUGAGUAAUGCUUAGGAAUCUGCCUAUUAGUGGGGGACAACAUCUCGAAAGGGAUGCUAAUACCGCAUACGUCCUACGGGAGAAAGCAGUGGAUCACUUGUGACCUUGCGCUAAUAGAUGAGCCUAAGUCGGAUUAGCUAGUUGGUGGGGUAAAGGCCUACCAAGGCGACGAUCUGUAGCGGGUCUGAGAGGAUAAUCCGCCACACUGGGACUGAGACACGGCCCAGACUCCUACGGGAGGCAGCAGUGGGGAAUAUUGGACAAUGGGGGGAACCCUGAUCCAGCCAUGCCGCGUGUGUGAAGAAGGCCUUAUGGUUGUAAAGCACUUUAAGCGAGGAGGAGGCUCUUUUGGUUAAUACCCAAGAUGAGUGGACGUUACUCGCAGAAUAAGCACCGGCUAACUCUGUGCCAGCAGCCGCGGUAA